UAACUGCAAAGGGUUGCAUUCUGGCCUGAUCUCCUCUCUGUGAAGGUCUAUUAGGGUUAAAGUAUAUGAACCUGCAAAGGAAACAGAAAAGCAGCAACAGGAAAGAAAGAAGACAAAAGUGGGUAAAAAUCUCAGGAGGAAAUCAAGAGAAUAUGUCAAGAUGGAGGGAGUAGACAAUGGUAUCAUAUACUGUGGUCAAGCAGGCAAAUACAAUUGAUUUCUUCACCAACAUGUGACAAUAUGAGGAAAGGGACUUUGUCUUAAAUGUCAUUGCCUGCCUCUUUCUUCACCAUUGACACCUAGCAUAAUGCCUUACAUGGAGAACAUUUUUUGAAUGCAUUUAUUGAAGGAAUGAUUAAACACAUCUUGCUAAACUAAAUAAAAGGAAAGACCCACAUAGCAUGUAAUAUGAAUAUAAUGAAACCAAAGAUAGCUUAAUAUUUUUAGGGAGGAAAAUAUAUGUAUAUAAAUACAAAACAGGAUUACAUUGAAUAGAAGCAUAGUAGAAACAAAAAGCCCAGUGGAAAGAAAUAUAUACAGCUCAAAAUGGACUGGCCAUGAAUCAAAGCAUCAUGUUGUCACCAUAAAAGAAAAUUAGUAGUUAAAAUGAAUGGACUGUUUACUCACACUGAUUAUACUUCUUGGACUCAGUGUACAGUUAUGACCUACUUAGCUAAGGAAGACCUGAAAAUGCUUUUUUAAACCACAUGAAGAGAUCUCUUCUGUGUGCCAAAUUUUCCGACUGCAGAGGAAGAAUUAACAAUGGCCAAGGCCAAGGGGAACAGGCAGAAAGAAGAGUGUGGCCUCAAAUGAUUUACAAGCAUUAAUCAGGAAACAUAUGGCUGUCUUGCCAAACUUGCUGGACAUUUACAAGGUUCAUAGCAUAGCUCACAGC
rnacentral:lncRNA from 1 species